AACGGCCGCGGUAUCCUAACCGUGCAAAGGUAGCAUAAUCACUUGCCUAUUAAUUGUAGGCUAGAAUGAAUGGGUUAACGAAAUAAAGACUGUCUCAAUUAAUCACCUAAAAAUUACUAUCUACCUGAAGAAGAGUAGAUAAUCUCGAAGGACAAGAAGACCCUAUAGAGCUUAAUUUUAAUUAUAGGACUAUACUAUAAAAAUAUUCGGUUGGGGCGACCCAGGGCUAAUCAAUCACCCACCACAUAAAAGAUAAAUUAAUCAAGUAAUUGACCCCUAAAAGAUCAUAAGAACAAGCUACCUUAGGGAUAACAGGCUAAUCCCACUCAAGAGUCCUUAUCAACAGUGGGGUUUGGCACCUCGAUGUUGGCUUAGG
rnacentral:rRNA from 1 species